AGUGAACGCUGGCGGUAGGCCUAACACAUGCAAGUCGAACGGCAGCACAGGAGAGCUUGCUCUCUGGGUGGCGAGUGGCGGACGGGUGAGGAAUACAUCGGAAUCUACUUUUUCGUGGGGGAUAACGUAGGGAAACUUACGCUAAUACCGCAUACGACCUACGGGUGAAAGCAGGGGAACUUCGGACCUUGCGCGAUUGAAUGAGCCGAUGUCGGAUUAGCUAGUUGGCGGGGUAAAGGCCCACCAAGGCGACGAUCCGUAGCUGGUCUGAGAGGAUGAUCAGCCACACUGGAACUGAGACACGGUCCAGACUCCUACGGGAGGCAGCAGUGGGGAAUAUUGGACAAUGGGCGCAAGCCUGAUCCAGCCAUACCGCGUGGGUGGAGAAGGCCUUCGGGUUGUAAAGCCCUUUUGUUGGGAAAGAAAUCCAGCUGGUUAAUACCCGGUUGGGAUGACGGUACCCAAAGAAUUAGCACCGGCUAACUUCGUGCCAGCCGCCGCAGUAA
rnacentral:rRNA from 1 species